rnacentral:rRNA from 1 species
AUUGAACGCUGGCGGCAGGCCUAACACAUGCAAGUCGAGCGGAUGAAGGGAGCUUGCUCCUGGAUUCAGCGGCGGACGGGUGAGUAAUGCCUAGGAAUCUGCCUGGUAGUGGGGGAUAACGUCCGGAAACGGGCGCUAAUACCGCAUACGUCCUGAGGGAGAAAGUGGGGGAUCUUCGGACCUCACGCUAUCAGAUGAGCCUAGGUCGGAUUAGCUAGUUGGUGGGGUAAAGGCCUACCAAGGCGACGAUCCGUAACUGGUCUGAGAGGAUGAUCAGUCACACUGUAACUGAGACACGGUCCAGACUCCUACGGGAGGCAGCAGUGGGGAAUAUUGGACGAUGGGCGAAAGCCUGAUCCAGCCAUGCCGCGUGUGUGAAGAAGGUCUUCGGAUUGUAAAGCACUUUAAGUUGGGAGGAAGGGCAGUAAGUUAAUACCUUGCUGUUUUGACGUUACCAACAGAAGAAGCACCGGCUAACUUCGUG